GGCGAGAUGGCCGAGAGGUUAAGGCGAUGGACUGCUUAUCCAUCGCGUUCUACGCGCGUGGGUUCGAAUCCCACUCUUGUCG